CUGGGCAGAGGGCAAAGUGACU
rnacentral:miRNA from 1 species